GACGAACGCUGGCGGCGUGCCUAAUACAUGCAAGUCGAACGCAGUUGCGAACGGGUGAGUAACGCGUAGGUAACUGCCUCAUAGCGGGGGAAAACUAUUGGAAACGAUCGCUAAUACCGCAUACUGUGAGCUAGACUUGCGUUGUAUUAGCUUGUUGGUGAGGUAAAGGCUCACCAAGCCGACGAUACAUAGCCGACCUUAGUGGGUUAUCGGGCAAACUUGUAACGAGACCCGGCCCAGACUCCUACGGGAGGCAGCAGUAGGGAAACUUCGGAAAUGGACGGAAGUCUGAACGAGCAACGCCGCGUGAGUGAAGAAGGUUUUCGGAUCGUAAAGCUCUGUUGUGAGAGAAGCGUUAACUAACCAGAAAGGAACGGCUAACUACGUGCCAGCAGCCGCGGUAAUAC
rnacentral:rRNA from 1 species